AAAUUGAAGAGUUUGAUCAUGGCUCAGAUUGAACGCUGGCGGCAGGCCUAACACAUGCAAGUCGAGCGGUAGCACAGAGAGCUUGCUCUCGGGUGACGAGCGGCGGACGGGUGAGUAAUGUCUGGGAAACUGCCUGAUGGAGGGGGAUAACUACUGGAAACGGUGGCUAAUACCGCAUAAUGUCGCAAGACCAAAGUGGGGGACCUUCGGGCCUCAUGCCAUCAGAUGUGCCCAGAUGGGAUUAGCUUGUAGGUGGGGUAACGGCUC
rnacentral:rRNA from 1 species